ACCUGCCUAAACUUUGCACUCCAUCCAGCCUGUAUCCCUUCCCUCCCUGGCCUCCAGCCCUCUGCUCCUUGGGCUCACCUGCACCCUAGCCUACCUGGAAAAGACUGCUUUCCUUGGGUUCCAGCUACACUGGUCACUUCGAGGGACAGCUCUACAGAGACUCCACAUUUAAAUCUUCAAAGAUGCCAGAGACUCAAACUUCAUCGAGUUUAUUCCAUGAAAGAAGUAUGCAAGGGGACAAAAGGUACUGGUGGCACGAAGAUUGUCCUAGUGAAAAAUCACGCUCCACAGAGCACGCUAGGCUGACACUAUUGCCUUUCCUUCAGAGAUGAGGAAUUUGAAGGCUCCACACCAUCCUACAGCCUUGAGUCUGGGAAGCGCUGGAGGUCUAGGAGCAGUGACUACAAUGGACCAGCAGAGGGCACCAGUACAACAAGUGAGAAAUCUCAGCCUGACGACAGAUGGGGCAGAACCCAAUGCAGCAAACACCUGCUCUAGAGAGAGAUGAGCUGGAUGCCGAUCUGUCUCCACAUUCCAUGAUGACCGCCCAAGCACUGCACGUGGGAGCAGGCUCUGUGGUCCAGUUGUCAUGGCUGCCACAUGCUAAGUGUGGUGUGUGCUCAGCCCAGGUGUCUUUAAUGUCUCUUGGGGUCAAGACAAGGCAUGGUCUUUCCUGAGAGUAUAGAGAAUCUGGAAGGCUAGGAACAGAAGAAGGUCUUGACUGUAGCCCUGUGCCUCUAGUAUAGGCACCAGGUCACAGCUGUAGACAAGACAGUAGGAGCCCAGUGUUCUAUGGUGAUCGGUGUUCCCAAGAAGGACACAAUGGAUAUGUGUGUGUCAGGAAGACAGUGGGAGAGACACACUUCUAAGUUGGUACACUGUGAGGCCCCUCAGCUCCCCCUACAGCACACCCACGCCUGCUUGGCCACAAGCUGUGACCAGGACUCCUCCGUAGGCUGUGCGUCUCCCCAUGCUCCAGGAUGCCCGCAGCCGAGCACAGGAUGUGUGGCAGCCUGUGAGAAGGUCAGCUUCCUCUAAUAUCAUGGGGACCUGCAAAUGCCCAAAAUGUCUACAACACUGCUCUUCCUCCUGCA
rnacentral:lncRNA from 1 species